GCUGGCGGCAUGCUUUACACAUGCAAGUCGGACGGCAGCACAGAGGAGCUUGCUUCUUGGGUGGCGAGUGGCGAACGGGUGAGUAACGCAUCGGAACGUACCGAGUAAUGGGGGAUAACUGUCCGAAAGGACAGCUAAUACCGCAUACGCCCUGAGGGGGAAAGCGGGGGAUCUUAGGACCUCGCGUUAUUCGAGCGGCCGAUGUCUGAUUAGCUGGUUGGCGGGGUAAAGGCCCACCAAGGCGACGAUCAGUAGCGGGUCUGAGAGGAUGAUCCGCCACACUGGGACUGAGAUACGGCCCAGACUCCUACGGGAGGCAGCAGUGGGGAAUUUUGGACAAUGGGCGCAAGCCUGAUCCAGCCAUGCCGCGUGUCUGAAGAAGGCCUUCGGGUUGUAAAGGACUUUUGUCAGGGAAGAAAAGGGGCAUGUUAAUACCGUGCUCUGAUGACGGUACCUGAAGAAUAAGCACCGGCUAACUACGUGCCAGCAGCCGCGGUAAUACGUAGGGUGCGAGCGUUAAUCGGAAUUACUGGGCGUAAAGCGGGCGCAGACGGUUACUUAAGCGGGAUGUGA
rnacentral:rRNA from 1 species